CAUCAAAAUACAAUAUUAUAGCUUAGCUUAGUACUAACUCAUUUAUUUAAUCAUAGAAUUGUAUUUUGUGCCACCCUUGCUUCUUCCCAAACUUGCUAUCGUAUACCAUCAAGUUUGACACAGUAUCUCUAUGGGGUUUUUUAUCCUAAAUUUUGUUUUUCGGAUUCUAUAUAUUUAGUUGCUUACCAGUUUAUCUACCAGAUUUGGUGGCUUACUUUAUCUCUACCUUGUUUGCAGAUCUAAUAAGGGCUUCAAGUGUAAUUGAUGGCUUGCACAAAGAUGGGAGCAGCAAUAUCUCUUUCUGUCAGGAGCGGAUCAGAAGGAGAAAUAGCAAUGUUGGCUAAAGCAGAGAGACGACCAAGGGCUUCAUGUGGAAUUGAUGACUUGCAACAAGAUGGUAGUAAUGGAAUCUAAGAUCAACCAAGGGCCUCAAAGGGCGAUGGGGUGACCGGAACCAAGAUGGAAGCAGUGGCAUCUCAGGAUUCAGUAGAGAUGAUUACCGGAGUAACUACGACGAGCAGCUAUUAUCUGUCAGAGUUGAUUUCCGCAACUGCUUUGAUGAUCCAUACUCAUAAAAAUCAAAGAAGAGCAGUGUUUUUCAUAUAGGCUGCAUUUUGUUGUGAUUUCUAAUGCUAUUUCUAUUCAUUCAAACUACGCAACUUCGGGUGACUUUUGUGCCAAAAACAAUUUUUCCAGCUUAUGUGGAGGUGUUGUUUGAAAAAUCAUGUUAUACUCACUUUUGGGAUAUAAUAAUCUUUUAACAGAGUGAAUUUUCUGUUUGAAAUCAUUUGCAAAUAAUUGUCAUUUAGUUUAUACUCACUUGUCUGACUUGUAACUAAAAUUAAUAGCUAUGCUUGUUAUAAUAAUUAAUACCCGUGGAUGGAUAUGUUUGUUCUUUCACUCCAAGUUAAUUAAUAUAUGAUUGUUAUAUUCAUUAGAAAUUGCAUAAAUGCAUAGUAUAAAAAAAAUUAAUUCCUUGUUGAAAGAAAGAAUGUAACAGAAUAUAUUGAAGUUAGAAGUAGUAAGAAUUGUUCUGCAGAAAGAACUUUAAGGACAAGAACACUUUCUUUCUAGACUAUAAAAAAACAAUGGAAAUGUUAUCAAAUUCAUUUUGGACUCUCCACUGUACCAAACCCCUCCAGUUGUGCAAAUUCAAACCUGACAUAAAAAUAAGUAUGUAUAUCAUGGCAAUCAGAGAAGAACAAUGGCUACCAAAGUUUUUUAAGCUCUGAUACCAUGUUAAUGAUGAUAAACUCGGGAAGAUUAUGGAAUCAG